rnacentral:rRNA from 1 species
UGGUUAGUGGCGGACGGGUGGAGUAACGCGUGGGUAACCUGCCUUACACAGGGGAGUAACACUUAGAAAUAGGUGCUAAAACCGCAUAAGCGCACAGCUUCGCAUGAAGCGGUGUGAAAAACUCCGGUGGUGUAAGAUGGACCCGCGUCUGAUUAGCUUGUUGGCGGGGUAACGGCCCACCAAGGCGACGAUCAGUAGCCGGCCUGAGAGGGCGGACGGCCACAUUGGGACUGAGACACGGCCCAGACUCCUACGGGAGGCAGCAG